rnacentral:rRNA from 1 species
GACGAACGCUGGCGGCGUGCCUAAUACAUGCCGGUCGAGCGGACUUAAAAAGCUUGCUUUUUAAGUUAGCGGCGGACGGGUGAGUAACACGUGGGCAACCUGCCUGUAAGACUGGGAUAACUUCGGGAAACCGGAGCUAAUACCGGAUAAUCCUUUUCUACUCAUGUAGAAAAGCUGAAAGACGGUUUACGCUGUCACUUACAGAUGGGCCCGCGGCGCAUUAGCUAGUUGGUGAGGUAACGGCUCACCAAGGCGACGAUGCGUAGCCGACCUGAGAGGGUGAUCGGCCACACUGGGACUGAGACACGGCCCAGACUCCUACGGGAGGCAGCAGUAGGGAAUCUUCCGCAAUGGACGAAAGUCUGACGGAGCAACGCCGCGUGAGUGAUGAAGGUUUUCGGAUCGUAAAACUCUGUUGUUAGGGAAGAACAAGUACGAGAGUAACUGCUCGUACCUUGACGGUACCUAACCAGAAAGCCACGGCUAACUACGUG